CCGUCGUCGGGUCGCGCGGCGGCGGCCGGGCCGCUCAUGCCGGCGGAGACGGCCGCCGCGGCGGCGCCCAGUCCGAGUGCGGAACGGCGGG
rnacentral:tRNA from 1 species